AGUGAACGCUGGCGGUGUGCUUAACACAUGCAAGUCGAACGAGAACGGGUUAUAGCUUGCUAUAAUUGUCAGCUAAGUGGCGCACGGGUGAGUAAUGUAUAGGUAAUAUGCCUCUUACUAAGGGAUAACAAAUGGAAACGUUUGCUAAUACCUCAUACUCCUUAUUAACAUAAGUUAAUAAGGGAAAGAUUUAUUGGUAAGAGAUUAGCCUGUAUUGUAUCAGUUAGUUGGUGGGGUAAUGGCUUACCAAGACUAUGACACAUAACUGGUUUGAGAGGAUGAUCAGUCACACUGGAACUGAGACACGGUCCAGACUCCUACGGGAGGCAGCAGUGGGGAAUAUUGCACAAUGGACGAAAGUCUGAUGCAGCAACGCCGCGUGGAGGAUGACACAUUUCGGUGCGUAAACUCCUUUUAUAUGAGAAGAUAAUGACGGUAUUAUAUGAAUAAGCACCGGCUAACUCCGUGCCAGCAGCCGCAGUAACAC
rnacentral:rRNA from 1 species